ensembl:lncRNA
CUCCUAUGUGACCUUCCAGCUCACAUCGAGGUUAAGAAAGAGCCACUGGCCGCAUCGCCAGCUGCCUCAGCCACAGGGCCUCAUAUCUGCCCAUAAGCCAGCACACACCUCGCGAUUAAUUUGGUGAUCAUGACUUGGAAAGAACCCCAGAGACCAGAGACAUAUUUAUUAAAUGCAAACUUCUAAUUAUUUCUUGGAACACUGAUGAAAACUACUCCUUAAGUAAUCUUUUUUUUUUCUUGGCUAGUGACUGAGCUGCCAUGUAGUUUUCUAGCAAUUAUUUUUAACAUCCCAAAAAUUGCCCUGAAGAUAUGCAAAACACACUUCCUACGAAUCGCACUUGAGAGAGGCAAGCAGCUCUUUUCUCUCCAUUUCAGUUAUUAAGAAAAUGGGAAGUCAAAUUUAUUGAUAAACACACUUCCACGGCAGAUCCUAAUGGGGGCAACUGCCCCCACAGCGAACAAGAAAUCAACCAGAGAAUGCAUCUUUGUGUGUCUGCCAUGACUGCCAAGGGACACGGGUUUCCGGAGUGGAGUCUUCCCCAGGGUCAAGGGGCACCAGGCUCUGGGAGCGGCUCGGAUGGAGUCCAGGGCCGUGGGAACUUACCUGCCGGCGUCCGAGGGGCAGGGCGAACUCAGGAGCUGGCGGUGCCAGGGCCGGCCCAGGAGGGUCGGCUGAGUGGAGUCAGGGUCUUUGGACUGUUGGACCACUGGAUGAGGGGGGUGGGGCCGAACGGAGACCACGGGGCCUGGAUGCUGGACAGAGGAUGCCCAAGAUGGAUGCGGGUUGGAAUUCCAGGCGCAGAAGGCCAUCCGAGCCCGGGCGCAUGGGGAAAGCUUUCUGCCCCAGGAAACUCAUUUGGAGGCCCCUCCAGGUGAUGGGGUGAAUUGGGCCUAAAAGCAGGUUCUAAGCCCCUCUUUUUAACCCCCUGUUCCCCACUCCGGCCUGCAGACCAUUACCGAGAUGAAAGCCCAGAGAAUGCCUUUGGACCACGACUGCGGGAUCUAAUUGAAUUAUAUGAACGCAGUUAAACGCCUGCUUCAGAGAGGCAGGGCUUGCUUUCAAGACUGGAUGCUUCAGGAGUUAAUGGGCUAUUUGAACAAUAUAGGCCGAGAGCCGAACACAGGUGGGCUGUGUUAAUAACUUUAUUUAGACCCGCUUUUUUUUUUUCCCCUUUGAGGCGCACAAGCCUUCCAUUAAUGCAUUCAUUAGAGUUUAUGGCCAGGCUCUGGUUUUCUCCUAAUGACACUGUCCAGACCCGGCUCCCCGGCUAAUUGAGGCCAGCUGCCCGGCUGCCCCGCCCCGGCCUCAGGACCCAGUGUCACCAGGAUUAGCCACUGGGGCUGGAGCUGGACUCGGCCUGAGCCGGGCUGGGGAUGAUAGCCGUUCAGGAAGGGAAACCUGCUACUCUCCCCAGCCCACAACCACUGUAGCUGAGGGGGAGGAGGGGUCAAGGGAACCUGUGUGUCUGGACACCCUCCAGCCCCACCCACGCACAGCGAAGGAGCCCGGGUGGGUGGGCUCCCAUCUCCACGUCUCCUCACCAUGGCCUGUACCGCCUCCACUCCUGUCCACUCCUGGGCCUCCUCCCCACCGCAGUCACACUGACGAUCCCUGAGACCAACCUGAUGCCGUCGGGCCCUCUGAGCAACCUGUUGUGGCUCCCCACAGCCCUCCGAGGAAAGUUUAGAAGAUAUGUCUGCAUUCACAACCUUCUUAUUGCCUUAGGUCUCAUCUCUCAUCCCUCCUCCACUGUGUGGACCGUCAGCCAGGAAUGCCUCCCUCUGUCCCCCAUGGACCCCCCUCCAUCCUGAGUCCUCAACCCUGCUGGAGUCAAUUUAAAUGCAACCUCCUCCAGUUCCACAUCCCAUGACAUCAUGGGUCACUUGAAAUCAACCACGGUUGGAGUAUUUACACCAGGGAAAUUGGCAAACUCUACAAAUCAGGGUGUGGCCACCUCAUACGAAGAGUUGACUCAUUGGAAAAGACUCUGAUGCUGGGAGGAAUUGGGGGCAGGAGGAGAAGGGGACGACAGAGGAUGAGAUGGCUGGAUGGCAUCACUGACUCGAUGGACGUGAGUCUCAGUGAACUCCGGGAGUUGGUGUUGGACAGGGAGGCCUGGCGUGCUGCAGUUCACGGGUCACAAAGAGUCGGACAUGACUGAGCGACUGAUCUAAUCUGAUCUGAUCUGAUGCUUUUUCUCUGGGGAACUGGUGGCGAGACCUGUAUCAGCACACCACUGGAUUAUAGGGAAGAGUCAAUAAUAAAGAGCACAGUGCCUGCUACCUACUAAGUGCUUAAUUAAAGUUCGCUUAGAUGAAGACUGGGCGUCCCAGGUGGCUCAGCAGUAAAGAAUCCUCCUGCAGUGCAGGAGACACAGGUUCAAUCCCUGGGUUGGGUAGAUCCCCUGGAAAGGAAAUGGCAACCCACUCCAGUAUUUUUGCCUGGGGAGGCCCAGGGUCAGAGGAGCCUGGCCAGCUACAGUCCAGGGGGUCACAUGAGUCGGGCACAACUUAGCAACUAAGCCACCAUCUCAGUGAAAAUCAUGAGUGGCGAUGACAACGAGGAUGUCAUGCUCCCCGGGCUCCAAGCCCAAAACUGUCCAGGGCAGGAUGCUCUCCUAAGCUUUAGAUCCCUGGCCCCAACUUCCCAGAUACCCCUGACUAAGAUGCCUGAGAGCCCCUUGGACUUGACACCCCCAGAACAGAAUCAUUCCUCUGGGAUUCCCCAGCUCAGUGAAUGGCAUUUCACCCCUCAGUGGCCACACCAGCAGCCUGACCAUCAGACUUGGCUCCUCCCUGACUCCCUCCCCUACAACCAACCCUUCACCACUACCCCUUACC